rnacentral:lncRNA from 10 species
UGGGCCCUCUCGGCCAGCCGCUCCCAGCUCUGGUUGCACAUUGGAUGCUCCUAGGAGAGCGUUUAAAAAAUGCUGAUGACUGGGCCACACCAUAGACACAGUAAAUCUGAACCACUGGGGUUGGAGCCCAGUAACUGAAUGAUUUUUAAAGCUCUCCUGGUGAUUUUAAUGUGAUGUCAGGAUGAAGAAUCAUAGGCUGAGGCCAAAGGCUCCAGGCUCGAGGACAGCAGUCUUAUUUUUCAGGGCAGAGAUCCGACUCUUUCUCUUUACACAUGAAUAUCUCCGGACUAGAGCAAGAACAUUACAGAGGCACCAUCCGUGAUGUUAACUGGAUGUAAAACGGAGUGAAUCAUCACAAACUGAACAACCUGUGAAACCAGCACCCAGAUGGAGAAACAGAAUUUGCUAAUUUUGAAUUCACAAAACAGAAUUUUUCUGGGCUCCGGGAAGCCCCUCCCCCAUCCCUUUCCACUCUCUAUCCCUCCUUCCAGAAGGGCAGCCACUCUCCUAACUCCCAACAGAAGAUAAUUUUGCCUGCGUUUAGUUUUCCAUCAGUCAUUUAAAUGGACUCACCUGGGCUCAGCUUCUCUCCCUCAACCUGUUGGUGAUUUCCAUUUGUGUUCAGUGGUAUGUAGUUGUAGAUUUUUCAUUCCCUUUGCUGAAGAGUAUUCAUUGUGUUUAUUUUUAUGGUGACUUUCUAUGUGUAAUACACAGAUGCCGGUUUUCUAUUUACCUCCAUCUCUACAUGUUCAAAUUACAAAACAAUAAAACAAAUCGAGUUCAUUUAAAAA